rnacentral:rRNA from 1 species
AUGCUUUCUCAUGCUGCCCGUCUUGAGUUGAUUCGUUCUGUUUUUUCGGCCAUCCCUGUUUAUUAUAUGGCUAAUAUCUUGUUCACGAAGAAAUUCAUUGCUAAACUUACGGCUAUUAUUAGAAAUUUCUGGUGGACAGGUAUUAGAGAAAAUGACUCUACAAAGAGCCUUUGUCUUAGGGCAUGGAAAGACAUUUGCAAUUCUAAAGAUGAAGGAGGUCUGGGCAUAAGGAAUUUAAAGGCCAUCAACGAAAGUCUUCUUCUAGCAGCUGCUUGGAGGUUAGCUAAAUCUCACUCUUCUCAUUUGUAUCUUGUGCUCAAAGCAAAAUAUUUCCCAGCUGCUUCCAUUUGGACAGCCACUGCUACUCCUCCAAAGUCUGCCUUUUGGGCUUCUAUUCUAAAAAUGUUACCCAAGCUUAGAACUCAUUGUUUUUAUCAAAUUAUGCAAGGUAACAUUUCCAUUUGGAGCAUGCCUUGGUGUACUAAUUGGAGUUCAAUCCAUGAUCACCUUAUACCACAACAAUCUGGUUUUCUGUAUCCUGCUUUGGUUAAAGAUCUUUGGCUUCCAGGAAAAGAUUUGGAAUCAUGCUCUUAUUUUCUCGCUUUUCCAACAACCCAUGGCUUCUGCUAUUGUUCAAACUGA